GCUCAACCGGGGAGGGUCAUUGGAAACUGGGGAACUUGAGUGCAGAAGAGGAGAGUGGAAUUCCACGUGUAGCGGUGAAAUGCGUAGAGAUGUGGAGGAACACCAGUGGCGAAGGCGACUCUCUGGUCUGUAACUGACGCUGAGGAGCGAAAGCGUGGGGAGCGAACAGGAUUAGAUACCCUGGUAGUCCACGCCGUAAACGAUGAGUGCUAAGUGUUAGGGGGUUUCCGCCCCUUAGUGCUGCAGCUAACGCAUUAAGCACUCCGCCUGGGGAGUACGGUCGCAAGACUGAAACUCAAAGGAAUUGACGGGGGCCCGCACAAGCGGUGGAGCAUGUGGUUUAAUUCGAAGCAACGCGAAGAACCUUACCAGGUCUUGACAUCCUCUGACAAUCCUAGAGAUAGGACGUCCCCUUCGGGGGCAGAGUGACAGGUGGUGCAUGGUUGUCGUCAGCUCGUGUCGUGAGAUGUUGGGUUAAGUCCCGCAACGAGCGCAACCCUUGAUCUUAGUUGCCAGCAUUCAGUUGGGCACUCUGAGGUGACUGCCGGUGACAAACCGGAGGAAGGUGGGGAUGACGUCAAAUCAUCAUGCCCCUUAUGACCUGGGCUACACACGUGCUACAAUGGACAGAACAAAAG
rnacentral:rRNA from 1 species